AAGUCAGUCCAGUUUAGUCCCUGAAACUAAUCCAGUCCGGUACAACAAAUGAACCCUCAGCUUCCUUUUCAGAAUUCUUUUAUUAUCCUUUUCCCAAUGUUAAUAUUUUACUCCAUGAUAGAAGUUUUAGGGUCUGUGAUUUCAUUUUUGUUGAUGAAUGUGCAUUAAUAGCUUUUAGAUUUAUUUUUAUUUAAAUUUAGAUCCUACAAGUUCAAGGCAUUGAUGAUAGAAUUAAAUUCAGCGCUGCUUAUUGUUCCUUGGCCUCAUAUGAAAGUCCACAGCUUUAAAUGUGGGAGCAUGCUAUUGAGUAAUACAUUGCCACCAGUUUAGGUGUUAACAAUAAAGAGUGCAGAAGCGAUGCAGCAUGAAAUUCUGAUGCAUGUUAACACCAUUAUCUUUAAAUGCGGUUUUUUAACGGAUUCCACUUUUAAUUUUUCGCUGCUCUUUUUUCGCAGAAGUUUCUCUACUUACAUAAAUGCUUUACGAAUUUUAGUUUUUAUCAUCUGAUUGUUUUUUGCAGAGGUUGUAGUAAUUUUGUUUUAACUGGAAAUUUGGGGGUUUCUUCAUUGUUAUCAAAUUCGAUUUUUCUAAUUUACUGAUUUUGGGGUUUUCCAGGGAGUGGAACUUUGGUCUUUGAAGGAUUUUUGGGCUUUAAAAGGGUAUGUGUUGUUUUUAAUGUUUCGGUUCUUGCGUGUUCCUUUCUUUGAUUUUUGUUGUCUAUCUGCUUUUGCGUUACUUCAUGAUUCAUUUUUCAGUGUUGGGUGAUGGGAUCUAGGAUUUUUAAUAAAUUUUCUAUGUCAUUCCAAUUGAAAGACUGAAAAAUGAUUGAAAUUAUGUUCUUUGUCUUUUUCAAAUUUCUCUCAAGUUUUUUUUGGGAUAUAAAAGUAUCUUUUCCCGAUUGGUUAUAAUGGUUAUUCAUCUCUCCAAUUGGUUCCUUUUUAUUCUAACAAACCUUUUUGUCUAAUUUAUUUUUUUUUUCAUUUUUUUUUAUGACUUACUACAGAAGGUAGAUUCGGCUUUUCAUAUAACAUGGAUGAUCAGUACAAGAAACUCAUCUGAAGAAUGAAUCCAAAAAGGUAUAUGCAAAUAUCCUACUUUGGGUUCAUAUAGAAACUCAAUGGUUGAUGUCACUUCCGAAAAGCUGAGAUCAGCAUAUGGCAUAUUACAACAAUAUAUUUUUCACAAGCAGAUACUAAAACUAUACACAUAACAUUAGGCAAGUUUCAACCUUUUUUGCUUCCAUUUUAGGGUUUUUCUAAUUAAUAUUUUGUGCCGAAAUUUGAUUGAACCUUAUUUGGGGUGUUUGAUUUUAGGAUUUCUCAAGUCAAAUUGCCGCUUGGGUGAUCAGAAAAAAAAAUGGACUUGGUCUAUGAUUACAAGGUGACUUCACCUCUCUCGAUUUUAGGAUUUCUCAAGUCAAAUUGCCGCUUGGGUGAUCAGAAAAAAAAAUGGACUUGGUCUAUGAUUACAAGCAUGGAAAGCUGUGCAAGGCACUUUUCUGCAAUUUAUUGCAAAAUAAUGUCAAUUUUCCCUUCUUUGGGUACCAGCUCAAGCUAGGAGAAAGUUUAGCAUCCAAACUUUACGUUCCUUGCAUGUAGCACUUGAAAAGGCUAAGAAUGUAAUACGCUUUAUUUGGCAGGUAUUCCCUCAAUUUUACAUUUGUAAUUGAUGCAGUUAUCGUUACUCCCAACUUUUUAAGCAAACAUUUAUU